rnacentral:rRNA from 1 species
AGGGAAACCGAGUCUUAACUGGGCGUUAAGUUGCAGGGUAUAGACCCGAAACCCGGUGAUCUAGCCAUGGGCAGGUUGAAGGUUGGGUAACACUAACUGGAGGACCGAACCGACUAAUGUUGAAAAAUUAGCGGAUGACUUGUGGCUGGGGGUGAAAGGCCAAUCAAACCGGGAGAUAGCUGGUUCUCCCCGAAAGCUAUUUAGGUAGCGCCUCGUGAACUCAUCUUCGGGGGUAGAGCACUGUUUCGGCUAGGGGGUCAUCCCGACUUACCAACCCGAUGCAAACUGCGAAUACCGAAGAAUGUUAUCACGGGAGACACACGGCGGGUGCUAACGUCCGUCGUGAAGAGGGAAACAACCCAGACCGCCAGCUAAGGUCCCAAAGUCACAGUUAAGUGGGAAACGAUGUGGGAAGGCUCAGACAGCCAGGAUGUUGGCUUAGAAGCAGCCAUCAUUUAAAGAAAGCGUAAUAGCUCACUGGUCGAGUCGGCCUGCGCGGAAGAUGUAACGGGGCUAAACUGUGCACCGAAGCUGCGGCAGCGACGCUUAUGCGUUGUUGGGUAGGGGAGCGUUCUGUAAGCCUGCGAAGGUGUCCUGUGAGGGAUGCUGGAGGUAUCAGAAGUGCGAAUGCUGACAUAAGUAACGAUAAUGCGGGUGAAAAGCCCGCUCGCCGGAAGACCAAGGGUUCCUGUCCAACGUUAAUCGGGGCAGGGUGAGUCGACCCCUAAGGCGAGGCCGAAAGGCGUAGUCGAUGGGAAACGGGUUAAUAUUCCCGUACUUGGUGUUACUGCGAAGGGGGGACGGAGAAGGCUAUGUUGGCCGGGCGACGGUUGUCCCGGUUUAAGCGUGUAGGCUGGUUUUCCAGGCAAAUCCGGAAAAUCAAGGCUGAGGCGUGAUG